rnacentral:rRNA from 1 species
GACGAACGCUGGCGGCGUGCUUAACACACGCAAGUCGAACGAUGAAGCCGGAGCUUGCUCCGGUGGAUUAGUGGUGAAUGGGUGAGUAACACGUGAGCAAUCUGCCCUUGACUCUGGGAUAACUGCGGGAAACUGUAGCUAAUACCGGAUACGACACCUUGGGGCAUCCCAGGGUGUGGAAAGAAUUUCGGUCAAGGAUGAGCUCGCGGCCUAUCAGCUAGUUGGUGAGGUAAUGGCUCACCAAGGCGACGACGGGUAGCCGGCCUGAGAGGGUGACCGGCCACACUGGAACUGAGACACGGUCCAGACUCCUACGGGAGGCUGCAGUGGGGAAUAUUGCACAAUGGGCGAAAGCCUGAUGCAGCAACGCCGCGUGAGGGAUGAAGGCCUUCGGGUUGUAAACCUCUUUUAGCAGGGAAGAAGCGAAAGUGACGGUACCUGCAGAAAAAGCACCGGCUAACUACGUGCCAGCAGCCGCAGUAA